ACAUUUCAUUUAGCAAAUUUUGUGCACCCAAGACCACAAACCACAGUUUUGUCUAGGUUGGUGACUAAUGUUUAACCCCGUAAGGACCAAACUUCUGGAAUAAAAGACAAUCAUGACAUGUCACACAUGUCAUGUGUCCUUAAGGGGUUUAACCAUAAUUAUGCAAAAAAGUAACGAUUUUAAACUUCAAAAAGCACAAAUGAACGUUAAAGUAAUUAAAUCUUCUUACUCAUGCAAACUGCCUAUUUAACACUAAUGUGGGCAAUCUUUUUCUGAAUAAUCAGGAGCUAUGUCACCAUCCCUGUGGCUACUGAGGGUUAAAUCCACCUUUCUCCAGAAAAUGUUUAACUUUGUUAUAGCUCAUUGGCAUACUUUGGUUUGCUCAUUCCCUGUGGCAAUUCUCCUUUGCAAUUGGAAGAGAAGUGCUAACUGGCAAAUGUUGUGUGACGACCUAUGGUUGGCGGCAGGGUAACAGUCUUUGCUUCUAUGACUUCUCAGGACUAUGAUACCAAACCGAAUGAAAGAUUGCCAAGUCCGACAAUCGGAGUCUUGCACUUUGAAAGGGGAAAAUAAUUUUUUGGAUGGAACCUUUUGAAAAUGUAAUUAGCAUUCCUACCUUGACUUCAGUUGAAUGGUAUUGGGUUAAAUCUGUUAACUGUGAAAUCCUGAUUAUUUUAUUUAAUUUUUUUUUUUUCUUUAUAAAUAAAAAUCCUUUUUGGUUAUUUUUUU